GCUUUUCAAUCUUGCCGAGCACUCCUCCAGCUGCGAUCCAUCAUCAAACGUCGGUCUCCCCUUUCCCCAGAACCGGAACAAGCUGCCUUGUUUUCAUUUUUUGGUUUUCAUCCGAAACUCAGCUCUCGCCCCACCGAAAUUCUCAACUCCAGCUCUCUCUGUUGACCAUCCACCGAAGAAAUCUUCACUCGUCCGCAAGCCUUGCUUCCUUUCGUCGCCAGCUACACCGAAGCGAAGACCACCGAACUCUUCAAGGCCAGCGAAGCAACUCCGCCGACCCCCAUCUCUUUCUCCAUCUCACGCCCACGCGUCCAAGCCCCCAUCUUCUUCAACAACCGAAGCCACGAAGCUGCAGCGCCACACGUCCUCAGCGUCGUCGCCCUCGGUCAGCAAACGGACCAGCAGAAGCCCUCCGUUGACCCGCGCUUCUCCCUCACACUGGCAGCACCGAACGAAGCAGCUCCCUAUCUUGUUGACCCCGUAAAUCCUACCGACUCAGCCGCUCCAUCCCGCUGCCGCCCCACCGAGUCUCCAUCGUCCUCAGUCAACUCCAGCGCAUCUUGAAGACCAACGACUUCUCCAGCUGCUGCGCGUCUUCAGUCUAGCGAGCUUGAGUCAACAAAACGGCGGUUUGUUGACCCAGCAAAGCCAUUCGAGCUUCAGCCAAUCCAGGUACGUGGCUUCAAGCGGCCACUGAAGACCAGCAAAAUUUCCGCAGCUGCCCGUGUCGUCUAUUGCUCCACCGAAGCGACGCAUCCAAUCAACACCAGCUGAUCCCCUGCCCGUGUGUUGACUCCAGCAAGCGGCCGAAGCUGCUCUCUCCUUCGAUCUUGCCGCGCGUGUCUUCAGUUCAUCCAGCCUUUGGGGCCGGUUCAGCACCUGCUUCUUUGUUCGGCCCGUUAAUUCCAGCUGCAGCCCAUGUGAGAUUCAGCCUUUGAAGCCCGCGGACCCAGUGAAUUCUUGAAGCCCAGUCGCAGCAAGCCCAGUUCAAUCUUCAGCUUUGGGUCCAGCCCAUUCGAAGCCAAGCUGUGGCCCGCGAAUUCAUUUUCAGCCCAGCAGCCCAACCUUGGUUCAGUUUAUUUGAAGCCCAAAACUAUCAACCAAGCCCAGAAAUUUCUGUGGGCUUGCAAGACCUGUUGGGCCUGACCCGAGUGUCCGUCGACACCACCGAAAACUUGGAUUUCGGCUGCCGUUGCGCCAUCGUCGUGGUGAUCCGAUCUUUGUAAAGCAAGACCCUGAUGAGGAGCCUGAGGAGGAGGAACCUGAGGAGAAGAACCCUGAUGUGAAACCUGAGGAGGAGGAAGAUUUUGAAGAAGAGAAUAAUCUUGAGGAGGAUCCUAAGUACGACCCUAAUGAGGACUGAGAUUCCAUCCUCUUUUGUGAACCCUGUAUAUGUGUGAAUAGUUUUGCGAAGCACUUGAGUUAUGCUCUGUAUAAAAGUAUGGUUGCGAAUUUCAAUAUGAAAAAUGUGGCAUUACUUUU